rnacentral:rRNA from 1 species
AGUAUAAAAUAACCUCCAUGAANAAGGGGAUAUUUCCCUUAUUANAGAACCACNCUUCCAAGAACUAAUAAAUUAAUUUUCAAUGACCCGAUACCCGAUAAUCGAUCAACGAACCANGUUACCCUGGGGAUAACAGCGCANUCCACCCUGAAAGCCCUUAUUAACAGGUGGGUUUACGACCUCGAUGUUGGAUCANGGUAUCCCANUGGUGCAGCAGCUACUGAGGGUUCGUUUGUUCAACGAUUAAAACCCU